ACGGGGGGAGCAAGCGUUGUUCGGAAUCACUGGGCGUAAAGGGCGUGUAGGCGGUCAGGUAAGUGGGACGUGAAAUGCCUCGGCUCACCCGAGGAGCGGCGUCUCAUACUGCUUGGCUUGAGUACGGGAGAGGAUGUGGGAAUUCCUGGUGUAGCGGUGAAAUGCGUAGAUAUCAGGAGGAACACCGGUGGCGAAGGCGCACAUCUGGCCCGAUACUGACGCUGAGGCGCGAAAGCUAGGGGAGCAAACGGGAUUAGAUACCCCGGUAGUCCUAGCCGUAAACGGUGAUCACUAGGUGUUGGAGGCAUUGACCCCUCCAGUGCCGCAGCUAACGCAUUAAGUGAUCCGCCUGGGGAGUACGGCCGCAAGGUUG
rnacentral:rRNA from 1 species